rnacentral:lncRNA from 1 species
GUGCUUUGUUCAUUGUUGAGGACAAUAUAAUGACCUAUAGUUGGUUACAUCCACAUCAUUUGGACUCUUGGUGGAAAGUUGUAUCAUUGGCAAUCAUACCAUCUCCUUAUUUUAAUAUGUAUCAAAAAGCAUGCAUGUAAAGUUAAAUCAAAGUUAAGUGAUCUUGUUUUGUUUUACUAUUACUGGUGAUCAAAACAUCUUAACCAUCCACAAAAA